rnacentral:lncRNA from 1 species
GGUGAAUAACUAACCAUUUGACAGGCUUAGCCACAAAAGCUUAGGCAUACAUGCUGUCAGGCUCAGCUAAUAUAAGUGUUCAUGAUGCAGAUGUGCAUUCAUAAGCAUAUACUAGAAAGCAGAAACAAAUUACAAAAGAAUAAUACCUUGUGGUCAAAUAUACCAGAGGGCCUCAAGUGUUUUGGUCGAGUAGCCUUAUAGACAGUUGGACAAGUUGUACAGUAAGGAUCAUUGCACAUCCCCAAUUGACCAGAUCUCAGUAAAUGUCCGUUUUUUGCAGCAUACUCGUCAUUCCACUCACUCUCGUUUGUUGUAUUAGUAUAAGGAAACUUUUCUGCUGUAGUUUGAGUUUCUGCUGCUUCUUGAUCUGUCACACCUUGAGGUAGCCGCAGAACAUUAUCAGGCCUGCCCUGGUUAGCAUAUAACGGACCACUCAUAGCUAAGAAUGGCGUUUUUGUGUGAGUCCUUAAGGGACCAGUAUGGCCUACAAGGUUAACUUCAUCCCUUUCAUAUGAGUCCAUAGAGUUCAUAGGAAUGGAAAUUGAUGCGCUCCGGGUCCUGGAUAUAAAUCUCUCAAUCUGUAAUGCCAAGUGCUCAUUUGAUGAUUGUGGAUGAGUAUCCGAAAGCAUAGGUACCUCAUCUCUUUCAUCAUCAGCCAUUUCUUAUAAACUAAAGAGUAAAGACCUACAAAAAGGAAAUAGAAAACAAAACUAGUCUCGUUAAGCUUCAGCUGGAUAGUUCAGUUUGUUUGACAGAAGCAUUCUAGUCUCAGCUAAGCUCCACUUGGGAAAAAAAAAACUAUUUGAUUAAGUUAAGAACAGAAAACAAUAUCAAUUGCAAUUUAGUAAUAUCAAUUCCCAUUUUGUUUCCCUACUUUUGAACAUAAAUUUUCAACUGUAAUCACAAGACAUAUGCAUUAUAUUCCUACUUGUGCUUACAAAACAUUGAAGAAAUCAUUACAUACACAAAAUGUAAGGCUUAAGAUUGAACUGGACAGAAAUAGAAUGUGAAGAACCCAUGAAUUCCAGGAAAGAAAGACAUCUCCUUGACUUUGUAACUGACCUGAAUUCCGAAGCAAAAUGGUUGAAGCUAAGCUGAAACAGAAAGAUGCUCCAAAUGGGUCACAAAGUGAAAACUCAGAAAUUCUGAAAGAGGCAGGCUCUAUCGUUCAGGGAGGAGAGUGAGAAUUAAAAACGAGGCCGGCGAAGACUAAAAGCGUAGACUACUGACCAAUAAGACUUGGAAGAGUCAGUGAAGUUGCAACCUUUGGAUUAUUGUAAGCAAAUUGACGAACGUAUAAAAGGGAGUGCUUGACUCUCUCUCUCUCUCUCUCUCUCUCUCUCUCUCUCUCCCUCUCUCUGUCAUUGGGGGAGAGAUGGACAGUAUCUACCAGAACCAGACAAAAGCCGUAACUGUUGGUUUAAUCUUUCUUAAUUCACUUCAGUGUUGGGGUUGUCUUGUCUUGUUCGGUUGGUCGGUUUGACAGUUAAGACGGACAGAAUCUUCGUUCCAAUGCUAGAGCGGUAGAGCCUGCUGCUUCUUGUUCUUGAUAUUACCCAUGACUUUCACAAUUUACAAGACUUUGACUUCUUCUUCUUCUACCUCUGGCUCGUUCAGGUCAACAUUCUGGGCUUGUUCUUCUGUUCGGACCUCGGACAUGCUCCGUUCAAGCCAAAUCUCCGAUCCAAAGUAGGGAGGUGGUACAGAUGAAUCAUUUUCUAAGUAUUCCCAAAGCAUGGCAUUGUGUCAUUAUUGAAGCUUGAAAGUGAAGCCAACCACGGUGGUACCAAAAGCUAAUUAAAAUUAUCUCUAUCCGAACUCUGAAGGGAAAAAAUAAGUUACAAGUUACGAGUACUGCUUUGUCUCUUUGUCUCUUUGAUCAAAAGUAUGGAGAAUAAUCCAUAUUUCACUUGCAUUGUCAAGCACAUUACAUAUCCAUUUAGCCCAAAAAAGAAGAAGUUGACACUAUGCUUGACAAUGCACAUGUGAAAUAUGGAUGAUUCUCAUACCAUUGUGAUCAGAGAAACAAAGUUAAUACAAAGUUAUUAUUGAUAAUAAUUUUGUGUGUGUGUAUGUGUCAAAGUACCUAAGUUUUAGUUGUGCAAUCAUCCUUGAUACCCACUUAUGUGUCCUAUUGGACUACCCCACCACCACGUGGUAGGAGUGUCCUAUCUAAGAAUCUCUCCUUGCAACAAAGUUGAAAGUUGUGUUAAAUAAAAAGUACAACAUGUUCUAUGCGUGCACUUGCACCACUGAUGUGUAAGACUUUAAAUCAUCGUAUGAGAAAAUCGAAUGAAAACUAGAGAUCAUAAAUUUCUUCUUUUCAUUUUUAUUUUUAAUCCAAUCAAAUUACACGUCCAUAAUAAGAAUACAUCUUCUUCGAUCUCGAGUUCUCACCUCCUAAGUUGGAAACACUUUUUGAGACUAUUUUUUUUUUUUUUCUAAUUUUGUUAACAGUAUUAGAAUAUAUGUAUGUAGUGCAACGUAGAUGACCGGAUAAAAAAUAUUGCAUUUUAAUUGCUCGGUUCACUUACAUCUUGAUACGUAGAAGAAUUUUUGAAUAAAAAGUACAGGCCCGCACUUGAGGUGAGAUUAAGGAGGCCAUAGGCCAAUAGCCUCAUGCACCAAUACCUAGGAGCUCAAAAUACACACACAUAAAAAUUUCAGAAAAUCACAUUUGUUUUUUCUUCUUUCUCGCUUUGGUCAAAAUUAUAGCCGCAAGCAUUAAGAAACUCAACAUUCAGAAGCAUGCAAAUUAUGUCUGAAUUCUAAAGGACAUGGUUGUUCAAUUUCUCUCUCCGCGACUUAUCCUCUAAAAAUUCGCUCAAAAGGCUUUUCAGUGUCUCUGUGGCUCUCUCCCUCUCCAAACCCUUCAGAUCUCUAGUCGAUCUCUUUUAGUGCUUCUUGACAUUGCCCAAAUUUUGUUUUAUUUUGUUCUAAAAAUCAGAUUGUUAUUCUGUAAUUUGUUUUUGGAGAAGGAGGAAGCUGCAAGUGGAGACAUGCUUCCUAUAAGAAAAUUAUAUAUAUUUUUUCGUAUGACCAUCACAGGGCAUUAUUCUUGGUUCCGCAUUGGGUUUCCAAGUCUCUGGUACAGCCUGAUCAAAACCGAAAAAAAGAAAAAGAAAAACGAAAAGUAACGUCGGCUGUUUUCCUGGGCUGAUACACCAUAUGACAGUCACCUUAGCAUGGCCUUUGGUCCUAAGAAACAAAUGUUCCGAGCGAGUUACCGGUCAAUCGAAAACCCUAGUAUACAAGUCUCCAUGAUGCUAAAAGGUACGAGGUAAAAUUGAAGUGUGUUUCUAGUUUUCUAGGGUGCAGGUGAACUCGUGGAAAUGCAUGAGCAGAAGACUUUGGAGGGCUAUGAAUUCUGGGUAGCUAUAUUCAACAUUAUCCAGAAUGAUGUUAUUUAGUUUAUGUAUUUUCGUUAUGAAAGGGACUCAGUGGGACUGUUUCGUUAUGAAUGGUGUUGGAAUGAGUCGUAAUGUAUACUUGACUUCCAUAUGGGUUAACUACUGCCUAAGUUUUUUAAUAGGCCUGGUUAAUCACGUCUAAAACCAACUCGAUCUUUCUUCUUUUUGUUUCUACCUCUCAUUUUCCUCCUAUAAACUCACAGAAUUCAUAGCUCACUGAGCUGAGCUCAUACAUAACGUUAGAAUGCUGGAUCACCUUAAUUAUAAAACACCUUAAGGUUUCAACUUAAAACGCAAAUACAGACCCUAAUUAAGAUAAGGCAGAGAUGGAGAGGGUCAAUAUAUUAGCUUGCCUCUAUAGAAUUGGUACGGAAUAUACCCAAGUCUUUACCGGCUUUUGAAUACCAAGGAGUUAUUUAUUCGAAGUUACUACCUGCUUCCAUAGACAUGGCCAAUCCAAGACCAGUUCAGAUGAAUUUCUCUCCAUCUCUUCCAUCUAUAAAUAGGCAUCUGCUCCAUACAAGAUCUUCAUCCACCUCCAGUUCUCUCUUAUACAGAACUAUAACAUAUACUGAGUAUUGCGAUCACGAUGAUGAAAGGUGCUCAUUUCCCUGCUACAACUGCUGCUUUUGCCCUACUGGCAUUGGCAACCUUCCACCUUGUCUCUGCCUCUGAUCCUAGUUCUCUCCAAGAUUUCUGUGUAGCACUUAAGAACACUGAUGGUAUAUACUAUAUCGUACUGUGGUCACUAUAUUGCUUCCAAUAUAUGUUUUAUCUAGGAUUAAGUUUUGUAUUUUCAUGAAUGCAUGCAUAUGUUCUGAUAUGGUGUACGGUCCUUUGUAUACUGCAGUGUUUGUGAAUGGGAAAUUCUGCAAGGACCCAAAGCUUGUAACAGAAGACGAUUUCUUCUUUGACGGGCUCCGGAUGCCCGGAAACACAUCAAAUGCGGUUGGUUCCAAGGUCACCCCGGCGAAUGUGGAGCAAAUAGCAGGGCUGAACACUCUUGGGAUAUCCCUUGCUCGCAUAGACUAUGCACCAAAUGGCGGACUAAACCCUCCUCACACCCACCCUCGGGCCUCGGAGUUUCUUGUGGUCAUGGAAGGCACUCUCGUACGUUGGGCUUCGUCACAUCCAACUCUGACAACGGCAACAAGCUAUUCACCAAAGUGUUGUACCCUGGAGAUGUGUUUGUCUUCCCGGUUGGUCUUAUUCACUUCCAGUUCAACAUCGGAAAGGUCAAUGCCGUGGCCAUUGCCGGUCUUAGCAGCCAGAACCCAGGUGUCAUCACCAUAGCCAACGCCGUUUUCGGCUCCAAACCUCCGAUCAAGCUUGAUGUUCUCACCAAGGCCUUCCAAGUUGAAAGCAAUGUCGUUGAGUAUCUCCAGAACCAGUUCUGGUAUGACAACAACUGAGAACAUGCUAACAAUUGUAUCACGUACGAUACGAUGACCUUAUUUUAUCAUACAACACAUAAUCUAAGCUUUUGUAAAAAUAAGAUGGUAGUUGCUUAUAUGUAAUGUACCUCUUCCUUGAUCAGUGGAUUAUUGGAAUUUGAUUAUUAAUAAAUACUCGCAUCAUAUAAAGCGUUUUUGCGUCCUGUCUCUAAACCUCUUACAAUUUAAACAAUUCAUCACGAAGAGUUGGCCGUAAAUUUAGAAUUUAUCCUACAAAAAGCACAGAAGUACUUCUACCAAAGAUAAUCAAAUGAAAGGCUUCUAUAAGAAUUCUCAUUUAAUUGAGAUAGAUCAAAUCCCCAAACUGAGAACGGUUUUUACAGAUUCUGUAAGAUAUUUACAAUAUUAUCAUGAGGCUGCUAAACUGAUAACACUACACUACCUUUCUUUAGUAACACUACAGUACCUUUCCAAAUCCCUGAAAGAGUUGCAUUAUAUUCUAAGGCACUCACAUGCAUCCUGGAAGGAAAGACUAUAUGUACAUGUAUAUGUAACAAAAGAAAAAUAAAGAAAAAGAGAAGCCCUGAAGGUUGAUCACUCUUUCUGCCUACCUGAUCGAGGUUAGUUGUUACGUUGAAUGUAGAUGAGCUUAAUGGGGAAAUGUCGACUAGUUUAAUUACAAGUUGUUAAAAUGAGUGAAGAUUUCAGUAGUGAUAGAUUCAUAUUUCAUACAUUUUUAUACCCUUAGAUGCAGGAUUAUAUGCUUAGUUCUUGUCAAUUGUGAGUAAUUUACUUGUUAUGUUUUGUAGGUCAAGUUGGAGAACAAGAGAAUUUGGAGCUAAGUGAUCCAGAAACUACCCUGCUGUGCGUCAACUUUGAGGAUUAAGCUGUACCUGCUCACAAGAAAUCUGGAGGCGAGCCAUACACCAUUGGAAAUUUACGGAUGUUAGCUUUCUGAGGAAUUUUACGGAAGUGGAUUUGCAUUUUUCUAGAGCAAGUUAUGAAGGUUUCAGUGAACGCAGCGCGUGGAGGCAGAUUCUGACGAAUUUUGUGUUUAUUCUCAUGAUUCCAAUUUGUAAAACUUAAGUCCAUCAAUUUUUAUACUACAAGGAAAGGGGCUGAAUGUGUCCACAUAUUUGAAAGGUUACUCUUGUAUUGACAAUAAUAACAUUGUGUUAUUUGGAGAGAAGAUAACAAUUCCAUGUUGGACAAGAAGAGUCUGAAAAGCCCGAAUUAAUUAGAAUUUCAAGAGGAAUAAAAGUAAAACCUAGAGGAUGUUAAAAUACAACAGAGACGCAGCAAGAACACAGAGGAAAAGAAGAACAGAGCCUCACCAUCACUCAACCCGAGUUCCUAUCUCUUCCAUUGUUUCUUCCGUGCUAUCUUUAAUUCUAGUCAUAUUUUCUUUGAUUAUGAAUUUCUAAACUUUUAGCUAGGGCUGAGAUGAAGCCCCUAGUAUGAUUACUCUAUUUCUUUAGUUGAUUUGUUUUUGAAUUUAUGGAUUGCUAUGUUAAAUUCUCAAUCACUGUUUCAAUUGAACUUUUAUUCAAAAUCUUUGCUCGGGAUCAAUAAGACCUAGGUUUUGUUUACUAGUUAUUUGGUUUGAAAACAUGAGGUUUGAUCGAGAGUAGAUGUUUUCUAGGGUUCUAAAGGAUUUAUUUAAUUUUUUGAUUAGAGAGUUGUAAGUUAAGAAUACAAAUGCUUGAUCAUAGUCAAUAUUCUUGUUUACAUGAUUUUCUAGUUCUUUUGUGCUUAAUGGAGUUGAACAUGUUUACUUGAACCUGAUCAUAACGUGAAGUAGAUUAUAGUUUGACUACUUGAGUUUUAUACGGGAUCAAUAAGUUAGAAUUCAUUGGUUAGAAGAACUUUGGCAUAUGUCUGGGAUCAAUAAGACUUAUGUACAGAAAUCUUUAGCAUGCAAUCUAAGAAAUUCAAUUGCUAUCAACUAGAGAGGAGGGUAGGAGUAUUAGGUGGUGGAUUCAAUGCUUUAGCAUCUUUAUAAUUUGUUUUUCAACUCUUAGAAAUUUCAUUGUUCUUUUGUCUUUAAUUUCAGUUUUAUCACUUUAGUUUUCUAUUUUCAUUCAUCAAAAUCAUAAAAUCAGUGUGUUUAUUUCAUUAGGUGUAGUAUAAUUGAUAUAAUAAGUUGUUCUAAUCAAUGCAUAGAGGGAACAACCUCGUGCUUGCACUUCUAUUCUAUAAGUGGUUUGUGCAUUUGCGAGUACUAUAUUAAAACAUACAAUAAGUUUUUGACGCCGUUAGCCAUGGAUUGUGUUAAUUCAAUUUGAUUUGUCAGUUGUGCAAUACUUAAUUCUUGUUUAUUUUCUGUUUUAUUUUUUUUUCCUUUUUUUUUUCUUGUAUUAUUUUUGUUUGUUUUUUCUUGUAUGUUUGAAUUUGGGUUUAUGCAAGGUCGUCGAUCUCAGAACUUAGAUCUCAUUGUCUACGAUCCAGAGAUUGAACGAACUCGUAGAAGACUAUUGAGGCAAGGGCGAGCUCAAGCUCAAGUUCAAGGUGCAAUGGCAGAUGAGGAGACGAAAGCAUUGAAGGAGUUCACUGCUCCUACUGCACUCACAACAUCUUCUUGCAUCGUUGUGGCUCCUAUUCUUGAUGGAGUGCGUUUUGAGAUUAGACAAGCAACAAUUCAGAGCCUACCUAACUUUUAUGGGAAGACUAAUGAAGAUCCUUAUCUACAUGUGGAGGAAUUCAAAGACAUAUGUGAAACUUUCAAGUAUGGGAUAUCAGAUGAGCAUAUUCGUUUGAGGCUUUUCCCAUUCUCUUUGAAAGACAAGGCAAGAAAGUGGUUGAGUUCUCUUCCUUCUAAUUCCAUCGCUACUUGGGAGGAUUUGCUUAAGAAGUUCUUGUUGAAAUUCUUCCCUGCUACAAAGACCAAUGCUCUACAAACAGAGAUUUUUAAUUUCUGUCAACCUGAUGGAGAAUCUUUUUAUGAAGCUUGGGAGCGGUACAAAGAUUUGUUUGUGAGGUGUCCUCACCAUGGAUUUACUAAACCUCAGAAGGCUCAAUUUUUUUUUAUAGAGGUCUGAACUUCCAAAACAGAGGUAUGGUGGAUGCUAUAGUUAGUGGAAGCUUGAUGGGAAGGACAACAGAAGAAGCAAUUCAAGCUUUUGAGACUAUAAAUGAGAAUUCGCAGCAGUAUGAGCCUAGCUUAUGCUUCAGGUCCUAAAAGAGGAGGUCUUUAUGAGGUUAGUGCAAAUACCAAGCUAGAAGAGCAAGUUGCAGCUUUGGCAAGACAAAUGAAAAGCCUUACUCCUCUAUUAAACAAGGAUGCAAAGGAGACAUGUGUCUUGUGUUCUAGUUUUUCACAUACCACAGAAGCUUGUCCAAAACUUCAUGGUGAUGAGGAAGUCAAUAUGGUGAAUAACUACGGAAGGCCAAUGAAUAAUUUCUCUGGCAAUAACUAUAAUUAAUUCGGGUUGGAGACCACAUUCAAAUCGUUUUUAUAGCAACAACAAUCAUGUGCAGAUGCCAAGAAAUAAUCCUCCUAUUCAGAAUUAUCAAGGGCCAAGUGAACAAAGAAACCAUCUCUUGAAGAAACUAUGUAGCAAUUUGCACAAAAUCAGAUAGAAUUUCAAAAGUCCAAUGCUCAGAUGCUUCAAGCUAUUCAAGAGACCAAGAAAGAGCAGCAAGUUCAAUCUCAAGCUAUUUUUAAGUUGGAAGUUCAAGUUGGGUAGAUUGCCAAUGCUUUAAAUGAGAGAGAACAAGGGGGUUUCCCUAGCCAACCUCUUGUUAAUCCGAGGGGUCAAAUUGAGAAGCAUGAGACUAUGAAAGUUGUGAUCACGUUGAGGAGUGGAAAAAAGGUUGAUACCAAUGUUCGUGGCUCAAAAGAUGUUCAAGAAGAAGAGCAACAAGAAGAGUUCGAAACAGAGAUUGAUGAUACUGUUGCUAUCCUAGUAGCUAAUGAAUCAGCAGAGAGGAGCUCCGAAACCAUGAUUGAAGAGGUUAUUUCAAUCCUGAGCAGAAAAACUGAUUAGAAACCAACAACUUCCAGCAAUCCAGUGACGACUUUGAAGCCUCUUGUAGAGUCUCAAUUUGUUCCAAAACCUCCAUACCAGAGCUGCUUCAUAAGCCAAAGAAAGAUAGUCACUUGUCUGAGAUUAUGAAAUUAUUUCGUAAGGUGCAGAUCAAUAUUCCUUUGCUUGAUGUUAUUUAACAAAUUCCAGCUUAUGCAAAGUUUUUGAAAGAUUUAUGCACUAACAAAAAGAGAUUUAAAGACCAUGAGAAGGUGUUGUUGUCAGAAGAGGUUAGUGCAGUGAUUCAAAGGAGACUCCCUCCAAAGUUAAAAGACCCAUGAAGCUUUACUAUACCUUGCACCAUUGGUGAUCAUCACUUUGAGCGUGCUUUGAUGGAUUUGGGUGCUAGUGUCAACUUGAUGUCGUACUCAUUGUUUCUAAAACUAAAGCUUGGUGACUUGCAACCGACAUCCAUGACUUUGCAAUUUGCAAACCGCUUAGUCAAGCGACCGAAAGGAAUUGUGGAAGAUGUGUUGGUGAAGGUUGAUAAGUUCAUAUUGCCUGCAGGUUCUCCAAGCUCACAAAACAGCCAUUGGGAGGCCAUUGCAGACAUUAAAGGUAUUAGUCCUACAAUGGACCACCCAAUGGCUGUUUUGUGAGCUUGGAGAACCUGCAACAGCUUCUUUUCAUCAGUGCGUUUAUUUCAUUAGGUGUAAUAUAAUUGACAUAAUAAGUUGUUCUAGUACUCCACAAGGAUUUAAGUUUGUUACUAUUAUCUGUGCUGGCGCUGAGGGCCUUAGCUGAAACCAGCAUUCACUCUGUUUGUUGACAUAAAGUAUAAUUCGAAUAAGCUGCACAGAUCUUACAGUAUGUUUGAGUUAUGUCAAAAUACACUGCAAAAUAUUUUAGCAAUCUCUGUACUAUUGACUACCUGAGCGUUGUAUCUUUGAAGGCCCACAACUGGAGAUACAAUACUGUCAUCCAUACUAGGAGACUCAAAGUUGGCACUUCUACGAACCAAACAACCAAGCGAAAGGUAAGUCAAAAAUGCUGCUCGGAAGUUACUAUCAGGUAUCCUGUAAAUAGGAUACCAUGCCACAGAGUACCUGAAAAUCAUAUUGCACUUGAAAGUUACAUGCUAUUUAGAAAUUUAAGGACCUCAGGAAAGCUCUCUUUUUGUCUUGUUCACUCAUGUGUCAAUUGCAUUUCCUCUAAAACUCUUUAAAUAGUGAUUAAAAUCAUUUUAGCUAAAAAACUAAUAGCAUGAUUAAUUUACAGUGGGAAGGUAUGAAUCUGUUUGUAUUACUAACCAAGAUCUGGGAUGUAGAUCAUUUAGAUUUAUAGUCUAGUUUAGUUGGAUCGCCAUACACUUUUGAAUGUGAGUUUCCAUCACCUCUAACCAGCUCUUUUAUCCUUAAAUGGAGGGAACACAAUAAGAUCAUCUGAAAGUACUAGUCAAAGUAAAGUUCGUUAGGAUCACCGCAGAUCCAAAAAAUAGAUACUUACAUCUCAGUAUAUGAUUCAUGGGUAGAAUUUUCCAUGAUUCAUUAAGCAACACAAAAGAAAUAUUUGAUUUGUGCACACUAUCUUAAAAGCAUUUCCAGCAGAUAUAUGGAAAAAUAUUCAAACAUAUAAUGAGAGAAUUAACAGUAAAGUAAACUGUGGAUAUAAUAACUUUUUAGAUCUUAGAGUAUAUGGUAUUAUUAUGCACAUUUGCUAUGCACUACUCUAUAUAUGCUCAUAUCAAAAAAUGUCAAACAGUAUGAUAUCCAUCGACUACAAAGUUAAAUAUACUAUUAUAACAAUUUGAAGCACGAAAUUCUAAAAUUUAGGGGUGUCUGCUUACUUGCUGGGAGUGCUCUAUAUAAAUGAGUUUCUCAUUAAAAUGAAAUUUGAGACAGUAGGUAUACACGUAGACAAUUUAUUAGCUUGCCUCUAAAGAAUGGGAGAGGGUCAAUAUAUUAGCCAAGUCUUAAAGAAUUGGUACGGAAUAUAUCGAAGUCUUUACCUGCUUUUGAAUACCAAGGAGUUAUUUAUUCGAAGUUACUACCUGCUUCCAUAGACAUGGCCAAUCCAAGACCAGUUCAGAUGAAUUUCUCUCCAUCUCUUCCAUCUAUAAAUAGGCAUCUGCUCCAUACAAGAUCUUCAUCCACCUCCAGUUCUCUCUUAUACAGAACUAUAACAUAUACUGAGUAUUGCGAUCACGAUGAUGAAAGGUGCUCAUUUCCCUGCUACAACUGCUGCUUUUGCCCUACUGGCAUUGGCAACCUUCCACCUUGUCUCUGCCUCUGAUCCUAGUUCUCUCCAAGAUUUCUGUGUAGCACUUAAGAACACUGAUGGUAUAUACUAUAUCGUACUGUGGUCACUAUAUUGCUUCCAAUAUNNNNNNNNNNNNNNNNNNNNCCCGGAAACACAUCAAAUGCGGUUGGUUCCAAGGUCACCCCGGCGAAUGUGGAGCAAAUAGCAGGGCUGAACACUCUUGGGAUAUCCCUUGCUCGCAUAGACUAUGCACCAAAUGGCGGACUAAACCCUCCUCACACCCACCCUCGGGCCUCGGAGUUUCUUGUGGUCAUGGAAGGCACUCUCUACGUUGGCUUCGUCACAUCCAACUCUGACAACGGCAACAAGCUAUUCACCAAAGUGUUGUACCCUGGAGAUGUGUUUGUCUUCCCGGUUGGUCUUAUUCACUUCCAGUUCAACAUCGGAAAGGUCAAUGCCGUGGCCAUUGCCGGUCUUAGCAGCCAGAACCCAGGUGUCAUCACCAUAGCCAACGCCGUUUUCGGCUCCAAACCUCCGAUCAAGCUUGAUGUUCUCACCAAGGCCUUCCAAGUUGAAAGCAAUGUCGUUGAGUAUCUCCAGAACCAGUUCUGGUAUGACAACAACUAGGAACAUGCUAACAAUUGUAUCACGAAACGAUGGCCUUACAUAUCAUACAACAC